CGAACGUGGGGAACCGUGCCCCACUAGUCUGGGAUACCACUUGGAAACAGGUGCUAAUACCGGAUAAGAAAGCGGAUCGCAUGAUCAGCUUUUAAAAGGCGGCGUAAGCUGUCGCUAUGGGAUGGCCCUGCGGUGCAUUAGCUAGUUGGUAAGGUAAAGGCUUACCAAGGCGAUGAUGCAUAGCCGAGUUGAGAGACUGAUCGGCCACAUUGGGACUGAGACACGGCCCAAACUCCUACGGGAGGCAGCAGAC
rnacentral:rRNA from 1 species